rnacentral:rRNA from 1 species
AUUGAACGCUGGCGGCAGGCCUAACACAUGCAAGUCGAGCGGAGCGACGGACGGGUGAGUAAUGCCUAUGAAUCUGCCUGUGAGUGGGGGAGAACGACCGGAAACGGACGCUAAUACCGCAUACUAUCAGAUGAGCCUAGGGAGGAUUAGCUAGUUGGUGGGGUAAAGGCCUGCCAAGGCGACGAUCCGUAACUGGUCUGAGAGGAUGAUCAGUCACACUGGAACUUAGACACGGUCCAGACUCCUACGGGAGGCAGCAGUGGGGAAUAUUGGACAAUGGGCGAAAGCCUGAUCCAGCCAUGCCGCGUGUGUGAAGAAGGUCUUCGGAUUGUAAAGCACUUUAAGUUGGGAGGCGUUACCAACAGAAUAAGCACCGGCUAACUUCGUGCCAGCCGCCGCGGUAAUUC